AUGCAGCGCAGCAUGGACGCGUCGAUUUCGGCGCUGUGCGGCUCCCUCUCCCAGGUGCUCACCCACGCCGACGACUCCUCCCGCGCGCUCUCCGACGCCCUCUCCCGCCGCGCCAUCCCCCUCGAGUCGGCGACGAACGCGUUCCUGCAGGGGCUGGACCGGCGGGUGGAGGCGGCGGGCGCCGACCUGGCGCGCCUCGAGUCCAUGGCCUUCGGCACCGUCUCCGUCGAGGAGCUCCUCGGCCACUGCCGCGAGGCCCUCAACAUCGUCUCCCGCCACGCUGACGCCGUCGAGUUCCGCCUCGUCUCCUUCGGCUACGUCGCCCCCCAGGUGGAUGACGAGGUGGAAGAGGAGGAGGAAGGUGGAGACUUGGGGGAGCUUGAUGUCCCCGGGAAUGGGCUCUUGGGAGGGGCAAGUUCGGUCCUCAGGUCUGCCCGGAAGCACUUCGACGACGAUGAACUAUUUGAGGAGUCCAUGUCACUAAAGAACUUUGGGAUUUCUGAUGCUUGUCUAGCUACUCUGUCCUCUCAAGAUAUUGAUUUUUCUGCGAGCCCAAAGAUGCCUGACAGAAAACCUGGAAGUUUUGAUGAUGACCAAAAGAUCUUGGAGGAAGCUGAAGAACCCACACCUCCCCAAAUUGAAACAUAUGAGCAAGAUGACAACGCUUUCCAAGGAAUGAUAAGGGCGUCGAAGGAGGAGUACGAUAAACUUCCUCCUUACAUGAAGACUCUUGCAUCAUGGGAGGAAUUGCAUGACGCCGUCUCAAAACUAAAUGCAUACUUUGGUGGUGAUAAGGCUCAGGGGAGUUUGAAUCAGGAUGAUGUUGCAUCAGUCGGCUUGGGGCGCAAAGGAAGAUCCUACUUGUUGAUCCUUCUGCGGUUGAAUCAACUGGUUAUGGAGACGAUUGACGGCUCGAUCUUCUACAACCUACGCAAGAACGACUCCUAG
rnacentral:rRNA from 1 species